rnacentral:lncRNA from 10 species
CCCUCGCGCGUCGGCCAGGAACCUCGGCCCCAUGCGGGCGGGCCAGCGCGGCCAGGAGGGCCGGGAAGAGGGGUCCCCGGGGCCCCGGAUGCGCUGAACUCCGGGGAGGGGAUGGGCAGGAGAGAGAGCACACUCCUGGAGCCGCGACGUCCAAACCCGGACGCACUUGAACCCGCAGCGAGGCCCGUGGCUCGCGGCCUUCGGAGAGCACCCGCGCCCCGCGCAGACCGGACGCCGGCCUUGCCCGAUCCUCGGCAUCCUUCGGCGGGGCAUACGUGAUCAUUUAACACACGGGUGUUAAGUUCAUUCUUGCUGCAAAAGAAGGCCAUUGUACCUCCUGACCCUGAAAGCAAGAUGAAGUCACUGAGACACCAAAGGUUAAUUGCUUGCCCAAAGCCAUGUAGCAACUUGGGACACUGGAUUUUGUGGAUGCUCCUUGGACACACUGGAAUGCACCUUGGGCAGCCCGUGGAUCAUUUUCCCCAGUAUGAAGCAUGGGAGGAGCUGGAAAAUGAACUCAUGAGCCAGUUGAGCCAGCACAACAAGCUGGAGCCAGGAGUCUGGCUGGGCUAGCUUUUAUCUUGUGCUCCCUGGAACCCUGACUGGAUGAUUUCUGAAGUCGAGCUGGAGCCCAUCUAGAGGGAAGGUGAAACUUCUCCUCAGCAUGCAGGGCCUCCUGCACCCACACUGCCACAGCCACCGCAUUACCAGCUCCUGCCAGUCUGAGGAGCAAGAGGCUGGCAUGAAGAAUCAGUUCCAUUCUUUCCUCCCUAAAUUUAGAAAAAGCCUGUUUUGCAAAGCUUUCUUCAGUGUUUCAAGACAAAAAAAAAAAAAUUAAGCAGUUGCACAACAUGCAUAUCUUCUCCUGGCCUGCAGCUCCAGGAUAUGCAGCUGGGAGCGAGUGUCCAGCCAACAGCCCGUGUCUCAGGCCCUGCCAGGGGAUGAAUCAAUUAGCAAGAGAAGCAAUGAUGCAAAUGCUCCGGGGUCACUUGGGAUGCUGUUUGCCUUUUUGAUAGAGAAAGCACACCAUAAAUAACAUCACACCUCAGGAAAUCAUUCCAGGAGGCCCCGAUGCUGGCAGGGCUGCUGCCAGGGACGGAAGGAAUCGUUUGCUCAUUGUGUGUAUUUCCCCCAGCUCAGUCAAUGGGAGAUUUGUAGUAAAAUCAAAGUAUUUAAAAGGAGGACAGUAUGUGGUAACAGAGGCAUGUUUAGCAAUUUUUUUAGUACCAGAACCUGUGAUUUAUGACCCAGAGUUACAGCCAACUUUAUUACAAAAAUGACUUCACCCAUAAUAACCUUAUUCAGGGCCCUCUGAUGAAUGAUGUAGUAUCCAACAGCAUUAUAAUCUAGUAAAUAUUCAAACACAAUUCCCGCCUCCGCCUCAUUUCCAACCAACCCCUCAGAAGCAGGCUUCCCCCUUUACCUGCUGGGAGAAGUGGGGUCCUGGGUAAGGCUUUGUGCUCUGUCUGUGGGAGUUUGCCUGGAUCAGGCAUUUAUACUAAGCCAGGACAGAAAGUGACCUCCUGGGGUCUCAGUCAUAUCUUGUCCAACCUUGUCCCCUGAGGAGUAAUGAGCAGAAGACACCCACUCACCCUUCAUUUCCUCUCUGUGCUGAAACUUAUUUCCUCCCUGCAUUCCCCCACUCCUCCAGAGCUCAGAUCCCCACCACCUGAAAGGAGCUCCAGUAAGCUCCCUGACAUUUUUAAUUGCCAUGGUAACUGAGGGCUGCACUAAAACCGCCAGGGCUGGGUGUCCAAGCAGGGUCCCCUGGGCGUACCGGGAUCUAGAAACUAGCCCUCCAUCUUAUUAAACUCCGGUGUCAGUUCCUAGCAAUUGUUUUAAAUUUACACCCUCAGAGUGGCUUAGUGGGAUUACAUGUCCAUUUGCAUUAAAACAGUUUUCUGUCAUUAAACUGCCAUACAAUAAGCUUCCUUGGGACAAAUUAAUGAGCUCUAAAUAUCAUCAAGUAGAAGUUCACUUCAAGACAGGCAACAAGGAGGGGGGUCGGAAGGAAGUGGCUGCUCAGAAUCUCAUGGCCCAGGAGAACGAUAAGUGCCAACUAAAGAAGGGUCUUGUCCUGUUUCUUCACUGCACGAUAAGUGGUCCUGAUUUAGAGCUGAAUGGGGAGAUUUGGCAAUAUUCUCCCUGUUCGCCAAAAUCCUAUAGCUCAUCUUCUAUUCCUUCUUCCAAAUAUGACUUUACCCUUGACUUUGCUGAAAUUUGCUGAUGAAACACUGACCUCUUGUCUCAGUGACAAUGUCUCAGCCUCAUUUUCUUUGUCCUGUAGUUUCUCUGUCCUUGAGGAACUUGCGUGCAUCCACGUGGCCUGGGAACAACACGCACACAACGCAGCACUAUGUGUAGCUUGAACAAGUGCUCCCUAACUUUGUUAGUUCCCACACACUUUGCUAAAAUGCAUGUAUGAUUGCUACUGAACUGUCUGGGUCCUCAGACCUUAUCGGGACCCUGGAACACGAGUCCUGAUCAGGAGCACCUUUCAUGGUCAUCAGGAGCAGAAUAGGAACAGGGAACAGUUUAGCUUCUAAGACUGAAUUUGUCCUGCUCACAAGAAUCACCAGAGCUUGUCCUCACAAAUACAUAUGUGUGUCUAAGUAGAAAUUUUUCAUUAACACCAAAUAAACCCCCAAACCUUCCCUUAUGUAAAGGAAAUAAGACUGGCUGCUAGACAGACUUCUUGAUCCACAGAGGCUGUGAUCUCAUUUCUGUGUAGCCUUAACAGGGGACAGUAAUGUAUGAUUGAGACACUGCUAUAUUUAGGAAUGACAAGAUGAACAUUAUUAAUAGCUUAAUUGACAUUAAGGCAAUUACCCCUACCCUUAUUACAGUUUGUAGAAUUACACAGAAAAUAUUGGCUGGGGCCUUUUUUUCCCUAGAGCUACCCAAGGAUACAGCAUUUUAUUUCAUGCCAGAUCCCAGCUUUGACAUUAGAUACUUAGCCAUAGAAUGAUUCCAGUAAAUCAUUAUAAAUGCAUUAUAAUAAAGAUGUUAUGAGCUAUCAGAUAUUAACCCCCAACCCCUAAAGAGAGAUAAAUAGUCCAGUUGCAUGAUUCCCACUUUUGUUUCAUAAGAAAUAAGCUUUUGCAAAGAGCAACUGACUAAUGAAUUAUAAAAUGGUGUGUUGAGCUCAGAUAAUUAAACAAUGCAUUUUAGUGUCUAGUGCAGGAUGAACACUAAAUCAUACACAAAUAAAAAAGGUAAAAAUCUGAGCCCCAUGCCUAACUCCUAUUUUUGAAUAACAUUAAUGUUGGUCUACAGUCCAAAAAUGCUUCAACUAUUUUCUUAUCUGAUUAGAGAGGCAUAUCAAGUAUAAGAUCAAGGCACAGUAGGCAAACUAAACCAACAGUCAGAACAAAAACUGUGAAGGUGCUAAUUUCAGAUAAGCCCACAAGGUUAUUUUAAUGGAGAUUUUACAUGGAGAUUGCUUUUUCCCCCAAAGUGUUAAUGGGACAAAAGUCUAGAAGGACCUGGAAGUUUUCAGGUUUCCUUAUACUUUAUAUUUUCUCUGAACUCAUAAUAAAGCAUAUUAGUGGGAAUGGGAUCUAUGCUAUUGGUGGUGGUCUUAGCCUUAUAGUGUUGGAAAGAUGAAUACACAUCCUAAAAUCUUCUCUAGGUUGUGGAGGUGCAGGGAUGAGGAGGGGUUGGUUUGGGUUUCAACCAUUAUCCUCCCCAGGUGGUGGUAUCCUGCCCAGCAGGGCUUCAUCUAGUGGUCAACCAUGGAACACCAUGACAUUUUCACCAGUGGCCCUCAGACAGGGCUGGUUUGCCAUUGGCUGCCAUUUCCUGGCAUGUCGUAGAUUUGCUGCGUGAUUUGAAGCUGUGCUUCAGCACAUCCUGAAUGUGUUUUUUAGUCUUUCAGUAUCUCAAAGACAUGGUGUCCGCCUCAAGGUAGUCUCCUAUUUCUUCGUCAAAUAGCACAUCAUUAAGGACUGUGUGGCCAAAAUUACAGAUGGUCUUGGACUCUGUAUGGGCAAUGACCACCUGUGCUGGUAAUCGAGGCUUCCCUGGAACACCUGGGAACAUACCACACAGCCAGUCCUCUCCUGUGCUCCAGUCAAGCUUAACCUCACAGCCCGAUACUCCCUCCACUUCCCUAGCUCCAUGUGUUAGCCACUGCAGGUUAAUUGAUCUAAGGCUUAUUUUCUUCAAAUAUAAAAUGAAGAUAAUAAUGCCUACCCAGAGGGUCAUGUGAACAUUAAAUGAGAUCAAUUAUGUAAAGAUCUAUCUAUGCAGUGCCUUUCACAGAGUAUGCCCACAAAUAAAUGUUACCUGUUUCAUUUUAGUUAUCUAUGUUUAGCUAUCUUUGUGUUUUUUCUAUCCUGCUUCUUCUCGCUCCACUAUACUCUUACAUCCUAAUUCUCUCUCUCUCUCAUACACACAUACUUUGCUGUGUCUAGCACAGUGCUUUGCUUGUGGCUCACACUCUACAUGCUUGUUACCCUGAACUAUUAACAAAAGCAGCUGCUAGUAACAGUUAAUGUUUUCUGACCACCUACAUGAGCCAGGCACUAUGCUAAGUAUCAUCACUUCCUUUAAUUCUCACAAGCUUAUGAGACAAAUACUAUUUUAAUUCUCAUCUAUCGGAAAUUAAAGAUUAAAGAUGUUCUAUAACUUGCCCAAGGUCACACAAGCUCUUAAGUGGAUAGUCAAGAUCCAAACUCAGAACCGGCCUGGAUUUGAAAUCUCAGUUCUUAACUAUCACUGUGUCAGACUGAUUUUGUUAGCUUUUUCCUCCUUUAGACUGGGCCCUAUCAAGGGAUCAGAGAUAAGCAUGUACCCACUCUCAGAUGAGUGAUCCCACGACCUCAAGUUUUGAAGUUCCAGGAAGUCCAGAAGUGUAUGCUAACUCUAGUUUAUAGCUGUUCAAAAGUCACUUGUCUAAAAACUUCAGGGACAUUAUGUAAAACCAUCCAAAAAACAUUAUUGCACACCCCAUAAAGUUAAUUUCACUUUGCAAGAAUGUGUUUGAGGGAGGUGAUGCACUUGGCUAUGUAUUCAGGUUGGUGGCCACAAUAUAUGGAGCUGUGCUGUCAUCCUUGACACUCUGGCUUACUGGCAGCCUCGCUCCAACACACUGUCACAGGCGAGGGAUGGCCUCCCAGUCUUGACUCAGAACACUUAAGCUUCCUAAUGGUCCAAGUCUCACAAACCACACACCUCCCUUAAUUAAAAAAGUAAAUUAAAAGGAGUAUUUCAACUUAGGGAUGAAUUAUCUUAGUAAUUUAAGAUUGACAUUUUAUUGGAUAAAAGGACAUGUAUGAGUUUAUUUUAAAAUACUGCCUUCAUGAACAAGAGACCACAGAAAAGAUUAUCCUGAGGUUGCAAGGCGUUUGUAGAGCCAGAGGACACCCUUGCAAAACAGCCACUGUGAGAGGCCAGUUGCUGCAAAUCACAGGUCAGCCACUUCUACACUUGUCCUUCAAGCACAUCAGCCGGACAUUUGGAGUUUUCUAUAGUCUUCAUUUCAAACUCGAUCAUCCUGAGUGUUGUGGUGGACACUACUAGUGUCACAAAGAGUCCAGCACCCUCUCCUUCCAGGUAUAUAAACGGUGCAUUGCUGGGCUCCUUUGCAGUUGGAUAGGUCAGGUAAUUUGUCUGUUGUGAAGAGUUACUAUGUUUCACUUCUAAGCCGAAGCAUUUGAUUGUCAAUGGAAUACCCUCCAGCUCUCUCCUUCCCUGCAGAAGUAAUCUUGGAAGCAUGUGUUGAGAUGACAGAGUUCCCAAUAGCCUAGAUUCCUGAAUGACUUAGUGGAGCUGAGUCCUCCACAGGUCCAUGUUGGACAUGCACAAUCAGUGAGAAUAAACUUUUGUUGGAUUAAGUCACCGAUGUUUGGAGACUGUUCAUUACCACAACAAAAUGUAGCCAAAUCCCGACUAAUCCAGGAAUUAACCUUUUGUUCAGAAAAUACAGCCCUUCUAAGUCAUAAACCCAUAUUCUCUUUCCAAUAGCUUAUUAAAUGGUUUAUGUAUUUUCCAUCUUUUUGAUAUACUCUCAGAUGCCUAAAAUUACCACAGUGACCUUGGAUUGGACAAGGUAGUUGUUUGUCUUUUAGCCAUUAAUAAAUAUUGCUACUGUGGAAUGAGUGAGGGAAACAGAAGAAGACAAGGUUGGCCUUUUGAAAAUAAUAUGGCAUCAUGUAACGAUGAAAAAGAGAAAAAAUACAGAAAAAAGAGAAAACAAGAGAAAAAUGAAAAACAAGUCUAUAAGAGAGAAAAGUAGAGAAAAACAAAACAAUAGAAAUGCUGGGCAAUUUGUUUCAGAUUCACUAUAACCAACUGCUUGUUGUUGGGUUCUGCUCUAGAAGGCAUCUCUCAGGAUGCCUUUGACCCUCAGCACCUUUUUGUGUAUGUGCCUAGCAUACUGAGGUGCUCAAUAAAUGUUGAUUGAAAGGGUAAAUAAAGGAAUAAAUUUCCAUUUUAUAAUCUUGGAAGCAUAUAUUACUUUAAACGGCCUAUGACUAUGAAUGGACAUUCCAUUGCACAUUGAAAGGCAGUACAACAAGUGAGAAGGGAAGUAGAAAUAUAUGAGUUUGAAUAGCUCUUCAUAACCUUUAAACCUGAGUCCUUGCAAAGAGCAACUAUGAGGUCAGAGCAAUAAUUCUUUGUCCUAAAAACAGGACACCACUGAUAACUCAGAGCCGUCUGUUGAAGAAAGUGUUUCAAAUAAACUGGUUAGCAAUGCCCUUGUUUUGUUUGCCUCUGGAUGGGAAGAACUAGGAGUGCAAUCAGCACCGAGGUGUCUAUAGUCUUGAUGUGGUGGGAGAUGAAAGUAGGGGAACUGAAUAAUGUAUUUUUUCAAAACCUUGAAUGGAGCGAGAAAUACUGAUAAAAAGGAAGAGUUGUGAGUCAUUCUUCUGCUGAUGCCAACUGGGAAGCUCCAGUAGUAUAUUCCCCUGGUGAUGAAGUAAUUCACUUUUUCUGAGAUUAACAUUCUGUAGUAAGGCUGUUCCUCAUACAAGGUUGCUCACAGGUAAAGUUAAUAAAAGGCAGAGUCUAAGAAUUCAUAAGGAAGUUUGCCUUUCCAUGGGGAGAAAGCAUGCAAUCAGGGUCUCUAGUCUGUGUGCACACGUGUGUGUGCGCGUGUGUGUGUGCGCGCGCGCACUCAUAUGCACAGCUCAGAUGUCCAGGACUUGAGAUGAGAAUGGAAAGCACCGAAUAAGAAGAAAGCUGCCACACAGUAGGCUGAAGGAGAAUGACUACAACCUUUAGGCUGAAAAAAAAAAAACACUACAUGCUGGCGUGUAUCCUUGUGGAUAUGUGGAAACACAACAAAAAUAUUGGUCCAUCCUGGCUGCAGUUUUAAAGGAAAGGAAGAUCUCCUGGCAUCAACAUCUCUUGGAGAUGAACACACUAUACAUGCAAGUUCAAAUCUAUCAUCUUCCACCAGUCAACCCAAGCUACAUUCCCCUUCCAUUUAUUAUCAAAGGAAUAAGCACUUUUGUUUCCCAGGCUUAACUCCUCAAAAUCAUGAGCUUUUCUUCCCUACCUUUCCCUUCAUUCGAACUCUUUCCUUUCAAAAUGUUUAUAGAAUUCAUUCUUAUCCUCUCCCUGCCUGGGGGGUUUAUCUAGCUAGUCUAAAUUCUAGAUCAUUGCCUUUCUAUAGGAAAUAUAAAACACACAAAUAAUGAAAUACCCAUAAUCCAAGGCAGAAAUCAUGAGUGUUAUAGUAACAAUGGCCUCAAGAGCUAGACUGCCCAGGCAGCUCAUAUU